UGGGGAAUUUUGGACAAUUGGGCGAAAGCCUGAUCCAGCAAUGCCGCGUGUGUGAAGAAGGCCUUCGGGUUGUAAAGCACUUUUGUCCGGAAAGAAAUCCUUGGCUCUAAUACAGUCGGGGGAUGACGGUACCGGAAGAAUAAGCACCGGCUAACUACGUGCCAGCAGCCGCGGUAAUACGUAGGGUGCAAGCGUUAAUCGGAAUUACUGGGCGUAAAGCGUGCGCAGGCGGUUUGCUAAGACCGAUGUGAAAUCCCCGGGCUCAACCUGGGAACUGCAUUGGUGACUGGCAGGCUAGAGUAUGGCAGAGGGGGGUUAGAAUUCCACGUGUAGCAGUGAAAUGCGUAGAGAUGUGGAGGAAUACCGAUGGCGAAGGCAGCCCCCUGGGCCAAUACUGACGCUCAUGCACGAAAGCGUGGGGAGCAAACAGGAUUAGAUACCCUGGUAGUCCACGCCCUAAACGAUGUCAACUAGUUGUUGGGGAUUCAUUUCCUUAGUAACGUAGCUAACGCGUGAAGUUGACCGCCUGGGGAGUACGGUCGCAAGAUUAAAACUCAAAUGAAUUGACGGGGUCAUAGCUGUUUCCU
rnacentral:rRNA from 1 species